CAUUCUCCUGUAUGAACUCUCUAACAAAUCAUUGUCGUUCUUGUGCUCUAACUGAUAACAUCUCAAAAUUUUUGUUUUAGGUCUCAAAUUAUUUUCUUGUUCGGUUCCAAAAACUUGUACGGAUCAAUCAUGUGUUGUGGACCCUGCGGACCUUGUGGACCUUGCUGUGGUCCUUGUGGACCCUGCUGUGGUCCUUGUGGACCCUGCUGUGGACCAUGCGGAGGAUGUGGUCCAUGCUUCGGGCCUAAUGUCUGUGGUCCCUGCUAUGCAUGUGGACCCUGUGGCGGCUGCUAUUGUGGUUAUCCUUGCUGCUAGGACAUCAAAUUGGGGAAAAGGAAUCAAGCUAAUUUGAAAGCAGAAUACCGGGAAAAUAAGGCAGUUAUCCAGGAACCUCAAGAAAUAAUUUGAGACUAAAUAAAAAUGGAGUAGGAAUGUC